rnacentral:rRNA from 1 species
GAUGAACGCUGGCGGCGUGCCUAAUACAUGCAAGUCGAGCGAACAGACGAGGAGCUUGCUCCUUCGACGUUAGCGGCGGACGGGUGAGUAACACGUAGGUAACCUACCUAUAAGACUGGGAUAACUUCGGGAAACCGGAGCUAAUACCGGAUAAUAUUUCGAACCGCAGGGUUCAAUAGUGAAAGAUGGCUUUGCUAUCACUUCUAGAUGGACCUGCGCCGUAUUAGCUAGUUGGUAAGGUAACGGCUUACCACGGCAACGAUACGUAGCCGACCUGAGAGAGUGAUCGGCCACACUGGAACUGGGACACGGUCCAGACGCCUACGGGAGGCAGCAGUAGGGAACCGGCCGCAGUGGGCGGAAGCCUGACAGAGCGGCGCCACGUGUGUGAUGAAGGUCUUCGGAUCGUAAAACUCGGUUAUUAGGUAAAAACAAACGUGUAAUGAACUGUACACGUCGUGACGGUACCUAGUCAGAAAGCAACGGCUAACUACGUG